rnacentral:rRNA from 1 species
AGUGAACGCUGGCGGUAGGCCUAACACAUGCAAGUCGAACGGCAGCACAGUAAGAGCUUGCUCUUACGGGUGGCGAGUGGCGGACGGGUGAGGAAUACAUCGGAAUCUACUUUUUCGUGGGGGAUAACGUAGGGAAACUUACGCUAAUACCGCAUACGACCUACGGGUGAAAGCAGUGGAUCUUCGGACCUUGCGCGAUUGAAUGAGCCGAUGUCGGAUUAGCUAGUUGGCGGGGUAAAGGCCCACCAAGGCGACGAUCCGUAGCUGGUCUGAGAGGAUGAUCAGCCACACUGGAACUGAGACACGGUCCAGACUCCUACGGGAGGCAGCAGUGGGGAAUAUUGGACAAUGGGCGCAAGCCUGAUCCAGCCAUACCGCGUGGGUGAAGAAGGCCUUCGGGUUGUAAAGCCCUUUUGUUGGGAAAGAAAAGCAGCAGGUUAAUACCCCGCUGUUAUGACGGUACCCAAAGAAUAAGCACCGGCUAACUUCGUG